UCUCGAUUGGUCUAGUGGUCAGGAUACCUGCUUGUCAUUCUCUUAUGCAGAAUUCGCAGGUGGCCGGGGUUCGAUUCCCCGAUCGAGAG